GGACUCUUGCCCCUUGAGCUGCUGGGGAUCCUCUGCUCCUCAACCAGGGCUGGAGGCCAAAAGGAGGCCUGGAGGAGCAAGGUCAGAGCUGCCACGAGUGGGCAGCCUUGUUUUCCUGCCUCAGACAUGA
ensembl:scaRNA